rnacentral:rRNA from 1 species
AGUGAACGCUGGCGGUAGGCCUAACACAUGCAAGUCGAACGGCAGCACAGUAAGAGCUUGCUCUUACGGGUGGCGAGUGGCGGACGGGUGAGGAAUACAUCGGAAUCUACUUUUUCGUGGGGGAUAACGUAGGGAAACUUACGCUAAUACCGCAUACGACCUACGGGUGAAAGCAGGGGAUCUUCGGACCUUGCGCGAUUGAAUGAGCCGAUGUCGGAUUAGCUAGUUGGCGGGGUAAAGGCCCACCAAGGCGACGAUCCGUAGCUGGUCUGAGAGGAUGAUCAGCCAAACGGGAACUGGGACACGGUCCAGACUCCUACGGGAGGCAGCAGGGGGGAAUAUUGGAAAAUGGGGGAAAGCCUGAUCCAGCCAUACCGGGUGGGGGAAGAAGGCUUUCGGGUUGUAAAGCCCUUUUGUUGGGAAAGAAAAGCAGCAGGUUAAAACCCCGCUGUUCUGACGGUACCCAAAGAAUAAGCACCGGCUAACUGCGU